CUUAGUAUUUCAUAACAAAAUGAAAGAAUUUAAAAUUAAAUUGAAAGUGAUGUUUCUUAAAUGUUCGAAACAGUAGGCAAAAAGAGAUAAAAAACUCUUAAAAAUCAUAGGAUUUUUUUUCAUUUACUUGUUCAGCUGAACAACAGACAUCAGAGACAUGGAAAAAAAGGAAGCCACAUGGGUUGUAUCACUGAAUAGAAACACAAUUUCAAAACUAUAAACAUCAUUUAGACAUUGAAAAUUUCCCAGUCCACUGAAUUUGAUGCUGAUAGAGAUAGACUUCCUUUGAAAGAGCAAUGAUCUGCAUGCCUUUUGAUCAGUGUCUUGGGACAGUCUAAUAUUAUUUCACUUCAGGGUAACAACAAGUCUGCAACUGUUUCUUUGUGGAAUACUUGUGCAUAGGAGAACUGUCUAACAGAUUAAUAUAUGGAAUGUUAAUCAAUUGUGACUGCGACUGCCCACACGUACAUGUCUGUAUGUCACAAGGUGUGAGUAUAAAUAUCCAUGGGAGAUAAAUUUCAUUUUUGUCCCUGGUUGACCAUGCCCAUCUUCAAAUGGUGCAAAUAUUCCCACUUUCAGAGCAACUAGUAUGGAUGCUGUCCUCCAUGUUUCAGAUUUGAAACUUGCAUCUAACUGGUCAUGUGUGAAUGCUGCUUCCUGGCUUACAUGUGUCCAUAUAUAAACUAUAAGCUAAAGUGUAUAAGCUAAAGUGUGAGCCUGGCUGUGCAGACAUAUGCCUUAUCUUUGAUUCAGGAAACACCUUCAAACACUUAAAAUAUGUUCUAGUCUCCUUAAGCACAGUGCUGACAACUGGAUAUUACAGGAUGAAUGGAACCAUUUUUGUGAUCAGGAAGAAGACAGAGGUACAAUGGAAUAACUGCAAGAUAUUGUCACAGAGAAGCUGAAAACUGAAAAGCUUAAUCUACUAAAAUGUAAAUUUCCAUAUUGGUGGAGGCCAUCUCAGAUAAUGAUCAUUGCGAAAAAUGUUCUUAGGAACAGAGCUUAAUCCAGAGAGAAGUAAUUUAUGUGACUACAGAGCUGAGCUAGCCAAUGCACUCCCACACCUAUAGUCCUGGUUUAUACAACUAGAUAUCUGAAAUGCUCCAUAUUCAGAGGUGAAGAAUUUAUUUUGAAAACCUACUUUCACAUACAAAAUGAUCUCUUGAGCUAUUUCUUAUGGUUGAGGUUUGAACUGGUUGAUAUUUACAGUCCUUGAAAUUGUACUAUUUGUUUUGCUUAAAAAAAAGAAUACCUGAUGAGCCAAGUUAGAAUAUACCUUGAAAUGCUGAACUAAAGGUGAAAGGUUUCACAGAAAACUUCUCCUCAUAAGGGAAUAAAAA
rnacentral:lncRNA from 1 species